AUACGUAGGGGGCGAGCGUUGUCCGGAAUGAUUGGGCGUAAAGGGCGCGUAGGCGGCCCGGUAAGUCUGGAGUGAAAGUCCUGUUUUUAAGAUGGGAAUUGCUUUGGAUACUGUCGGGCUUGAGUGCUGGAGGGGGAAGUGGAAUUCCCAGUGUAGAGGUGAAAUGCGUAGAGAUUGGGAGGAACACCAGUGGCGAAGGCGACUUACUGGACUGUAACUGACGCUGAGGCGCGAAAGUGUGGGGAGCAAACAGGAUUAGAUACCCUGGUAGUCCACACUGUAAACGAUGAAUGCUAGGUGUAGGGGGUAUCGACCCCUUCUGUGCCGCAGUCAACACAAUAAGCAUUCCGCCUGGGGAGUACGGCCGCAAGGUUGAAACUCAAAUGAAUCGACGGGG
rnacentral:rRNA from 1 species